AUUGAACGCUGGCGGCAGGCCUAACACAUGCAAGUCGAACGAGUGGCGGACGGGUGAGUAAUGGCUGGGAAACUGCCUGAUGGAGGGGGAUAACUACUGGAAACGGUAGCUAAUACCGCAUACCAUCGGAUGUGCCCAGAUGGGAUUAGAUUGUUGGUGGGGUAACGGCUCACCAAGGCAACGAUCCCUAGCUGGUCUGAGAGGAUGACCGGCCACACUGGAACUGAGACACGGUCCAUACGCCUACGGGAGGCCGCAGUGGGGAAUCUUGCACAAUGGGCGCAAGCCUGAGGCAGCCAUGCCGCGUGUAUGAAGAAGUCCUUCGGAUUGUAAAGUACUUUCGGCGGAGAGGCGUUACCCGCAGAAAAAGCUCCGGCUAACUCCGUGCCAGCAGCCGCGGUAAUAC
rnacentral:rRNA from 1 species